AACAGUGGAUAUUUAUUUUUAUAUAUCCUUUAAAAAGUGCAACUUUUUUGGGACUUUCUUCAAAAUCGUACAGUUUUUUCCUGCUCUCAUAUAGGAAGAACAGAAAAGGCAAUGCUCACGCUAAUUGCUUACCUAUGCUUUCAUGGUGACAAAACCCCGAAGAAGAGAUGUGUUAAACGCCCCUCACCACCGGCUCCACCACCACCACCUGAAUAAAUAUUUAUUAAACACAGUUUAACAAUAGGUCCUUGUUAUUUUAUAAAGAUAUCUCCAAGGAUCAGCAAGACCUAACUACUCAAUUCUUUUAUUAGCCUGGGUAGAAAAUUUUAGAAGUUACUUAAAAUUUUGCAAUGGUUUAUUUAUGUGAUGUUGUGCUUGUACUGAAAAAAAUUAUUGUUUGGAAUUUGUAUAUCUAUGUUAUAACGUCAAACUGUUUGGAAAGAAGCUUUUCUAUUCUGAAACUUGUCGAAGAAACUGUCAAAAAAAGGAGUACUGCUGGUUGUACUAUAAUGGAUUAGUAAUGGUACAUUCAUUUCGGUUAACGAGGUGUAAGCAGAGCAAGUGUUUGAUGCUAUAUAUAUAAGCGCUUCCCAGUGUAUGACUUAUAACGAAAUUGACGUAUACAAUUGACUGCAUGAAAUUUGUUUUUUCUAUUGACAUAUUUUUAAAAAAUAUAUUUCAAUUGCAAAUAUAA